rfam:Dipodomys ordii contig_42089, whole genome shotgun sequence.
GGUGGCUCCAUGGUAGAGCACUUGCCUUGCAUGCAUGAGGCCCUGGGUUCGAUUCCUCAGCACCA